GACGAACGCUGGCGGCGUGCUUAACACAUGCAAGUCGAACGGAAAGGCCCUGCUUUUGUGGGGUGCUCGAGUGGCGAACGGGUGAGUAACACGUGAGUAACCUGCCCUUGACUUUGGGAUAACUUCAGGAAACUGGGGCUAAUACCGGAUAGGAGCUCCUGAUGCAUGGUGGGGGUUGGAAAGUUUCGGCGGUGGGGGAUGGACUCGCGGCUUAUCAGCUUGUUGGUGGGGUAGUGGCUUACCAAGGCUUUGACGGGUAGCCGGCCUGAGAGGGUGACCGGCCACAUUGGGCCUGAGAUACGGCCCAGACGCCUACGGGAGGCAGCAGUGGGGAAUAUUGCACAAUGGGCGGAAGCCUGAUGCAGCAACGCCGCGUGCGGGAUGACGGCCUUCGGGUUGUAAACCGCUUUCGCCUGUGACGAAGCGUGAGUGACGGUAAUGAGUAAAGAAGCACCGGCUAACUACGUG
rnacentral:rRNA from 1 species